GGUCUCCUUCUUCCAUCGGCCUCCCCUCAUUCUCCUUUGCAGCUGUUGGGCUUUUAUAAGAAUGGAGCUGCAUUGGCCAUUCUUCAAAGGGUCAGUGUCCCCCAGAGGUCCUGGGGGUGGGCAGGGAGCUUCUCAGGUUCAGGGACGGCUGGGUUCCCGCCUCUGGCCUCUGCCUCAUGGCCGGGAGGGGCCCAGGCUGCUUUGGGGAGAGCGAGCGAACCGCACAGGCGACUUCCUUGUCUCCCAGCCAGGUGCUCAGUUGGUACCACUGGACGGUUGCUGAAGGGCAGAUUUUCUGGAAGGCGAGAAGCUUCCGUGGGACUCUGGAAAGAGCCAGGGUCAAGAUGGUGCUCAUGGGGCGGUGAGAGAACAGGCCUGCUUUCCAGCUGUGAGGUCUGGACGAUUAUCUUACUAUUUCCCUCGCACAGCUGACGGCCAGGCGGCUCAUUCCCGGGACGGGUGACUUGUCCUCUGUUCUCUGACUCGGUAGCCCUCCUCCCCAGCUAGCUCCAGGCUCUUUUCAGGGGUUCCUGAAAGGGUAAACGACAAGUUUGAAUUUUGUGCGGGAAGUUUGGGCAGUGAGUCUGGAGCACAGACUCUGGGCCCAGCACCGGACUUGGGGUUCAUUGGCCACCCCGUGUCCUGCUGAGACGACCGUUUGUCAGGCACCUCAGUGCUGGGGACUGUAAGGAGCAACGUGGCCUGAGCUUCCCGCCCUGAGCCUUCUGGUGUGGAAAGGCAGGGGCAUCAGCUUAGAUCACAGUUAGGCAAAGCCCACCGAGGUCCGAGGUCAGAGCAGGUCAGGGAGCUAGGACUUUGUUGACAGUGAGGAACCAGAGAAUGUUUCAGAGAACUUUGAGAAUGGCUAGCUCAUUCAUUCAGACUGAAACUUCUCUCCCAUUGUUCUGUGAAAAAUUCCAACAGAACCCUGUUCUUUUGCUUUCCAUUCAAGGACAUUUUUGCUGCCUCAAAUCAUGCUGAACCAUCUGGUAAUUGAGACAACUUUCCAUUUCCCUGCCAGGCCUAGUGGGCUCCCAGGGUGUGGGGCUGAGGCUGGUGGCCCUGGGUGGGGGCAGGUGAGGGGGGAGGGGUAUUCCUUUUCGCUGGCUGUCCAGACCCAUGCUGUGGCCCUCAGCUUUGGCCCUGCCAGGGUCCAAGUAAAUAAGUGUAGCCAACGUUGCUGGGAAAGCCAGCAUGUGCAUUUCUUGAGAAAUGGGCAAAUUUGCAUUGUUCAGGAUCGAGAAUUACUUUUUAAAAAGAUUUUAUUUAUUUAUUUGGGGGAGAGAGAGAGAGUGUGCAGGGGGAGGAGCAGAGGGAGAGGGAGAAGCAGACUGCCCGCUGAGCAGGGAGCCCACAUGGGACUUGAUCCCAGGACUCCAGGAUUUACCACCUGAGCCAAAGGCGGACACUUAACCGACUGAGCCCCCUAGGCGCCCCAGGAUUGAGAAUUAUUAAUCUCUAGAGAUCUUUUUUAAAAAGCAGUGGUCUGAUACAUUUUUGAACAGAUGUGAUCCUCAGGGAAUCGAUAAGAGUGAACGGAUUGGAUGAGGUGGGGGGGAUGUGGGGGGAGAGGAGACCAGACCCUGCCCCGGGGAAGCUAAACUCUGUCUGGGGAGGUGAGGCAGGGAACCCUAGGAACCAGAGCGACUCCGUGAGGCAGGGAACCCCAGGAGCCAGAACGACACUGCGGGAAUAAUACUUCUCUGCCGAGUUGGCCACAGCGUCAGGACUGAUGGACCCAUUUCUGCCUCCACAGCCUUGGGUUAGAAGGGUGCAGGUAGUGGCACAUAGACGCAGAUUGGAGUGCUGACUCUGAUUCUUCUGAGCCGCGUGAUUUCCGGUGAAUACUAGAACUUUCUCAGAGCCAUGUUUUCUCGCCCAGAAAGCAGGAAGAGCAUAAAAUGCCUACUUCACUAGGUUAAAAGGGUUAAAUCAAGUGAUGUAGCUGUCACAGGCCUUGGUACAGGGCAGGGAGUGUGGAAGGCUCCAGGAAGUGGGAGCUGGACCGAGGAUGGUGGACCUUGUGGUGGUGCUUUCUGGGGCUCGUGCUGGGGUGGGAGAGGCACGGCUCGCCUGGCCUGCUUGGAUGUGCGGACAGCCCUCUCCUAAGUCUUGAGCAUGGCCUCUGGGAUCUGGGAAAGGGGGAGGGCUCCCCCUCCGCAGGACUGAUGAGGUGGUCAGUGCGCGUGGAAAUCUUACCCCGGGGUUUGGCUCUUCUCAUCACCGUGAUUAUCCUGUUACUCCUAGGAGGCGUUCAGUCCAAGAAGCAAGGGUGAGAACUGCUUUGGUGGGUGUUCCAGAAGUUUGGAGCAGGGGAGGGGCGUGAACCCCACCAGGCUGGUGCAGAGGAGUAACCCAGGGAAGGGAAUGAACGGUCUAUCACCUGCUAGUGUAGGUGCGGCGUUGCUGGGUGGAACAGAAGUGACCACCCUGCUCAGAGCCCACGGCUCUUUGUCCUUGGCCUAGUGCCCUCCCUUAGACUGGUCACUAAGCAGGGGGGACAGUUCUACCCCAAGGAGGAUGGAUUUUUGUUGAACCCGUGAAAUUCACAUGUAGUUCGGAUUCCCUUGAGGCACGAAACCAGCACGUUCCCAAAAACCAACUGCUGGUGAGUUGUAAUGAUUCACAGUAAUAAGCAACCGUCAACCAACCUUUGGACUCAGGGCCGUUCAGGAGCUGCCUGCAAGGCCCUGGCCCAAAGUGAAGGCUGUCUUCUCGGCCCCCAGUCCUCCUGCUGCAGAGGGUUCACUGGGCUCAGCUGGCCUGUAGGUUCCUUGUGCGAUAGUUUUGGACCGGGAGCCAAGCAGAUCUUAAACAGGGUUCUUCAGCUGCCUCACCUAUCAAGUGGAUCCUGUUGCCGAAAAGAUCUGUGAAGUGCUGAGCUCCUUGUGGUCACUCUGUGGUUAUCUUUCUGCUGAUCCAGGCAGCCGCUGAAAGGAAAACUGAGGCUCAGAGAAGGAGGACUUGCCCAGGACUGCAUCCUGAGUUUGCGUCUGAGCUGGGGCUCCAACUCAAGACCGUCGGCCGCCAAGUCCAGUUCCGUUCCCGUGUGCACUCAGAAUUCUCACCUGGGCCUGUCUGACCCCUCUGCAGUUAUGUUUCCCCUCCCUGCAGGUAGAUCAGCCCAGGGCUGGGUAGUCAUGAGCUGGGAAGGAGAGGGUUAAAUUCUUCCUAAGCGCUAGAGCUGGUUUUGAGCUGGGGGCCUCCAGUGACCCCAUCAUUGACCCCCACCUCCUGGGUCAGGGCGGAGGGCUGUGGGGGAUGGGAAACAGUGGCUCUGAUAGUCCAAUGGGGGCCGAGGGAGGGACUGAGGAGGCCAGGGCAGGGAGGGGAAAGCUCAUCUCUCUUCCUCUCUUGGACAAAGAUGCCGGGCGGCCUUUUGGUGGUUUCCAUAGGAAGUCCCCAAGGGUCCCUUGUGGUGGGCUGCUGUCAGUAUGGCCACAGAGCACAGGCAGCUCUGGGAGACGCUGGGACCCUGGGAUGUGUUCUUGAUGAAGUGGGAACUCAGAUCUAUUUUUACCAGGAAAGGCACCAGUAACAGGAAAUGGAAAUAGCAAAUCCAUCUUGGGGCUGGAUGGGACUUCGGUCCCCGUCUGUCCCUCAUCCAGGAGGAAAGGACAGCGUGGCCCGCAAGCCAGCAUCUGUGGAGUAAGGGAAUGAGUCCCCGCUCAUUUCCCUCCUCUCCCAGGUCCGGCUGUCCCGUCCGUGCCCCAGUCCCCUGUAGCUCAGACCUUCUGGUGUAGAGCUUCUAUUUGGACCACUGUCACCGUGUCCUCUCCACAUGGCUGUUGAGAGAGGCCCGGAGCAGUAGAAUGAGGUGCCCAGGUAUGGACGGCAGGUCGGGGCAGAUCUGUUCGGGAAACCAGGUGUCGGCCCAGUGCUUUUCUUGAAACGGCCACCCUGAGAAGAACACUGGAGGAAAGGGUUUCCAGGAAGGCCAAGGGACCCGACUUGAAGGAAGCCUAAUCUCUUUCCGCUUUCCUCCUGCCUUGCCCCCAGAUCCCUUUCCCUCCUUGCUGAGGGGUCCUUCAUCCACCUGUGUCUGCCUGGCAGGGAGAGAAGCCUUUGGUUGGUCUGGAGGCGAGGGAGGCGUAGAGAGGAAGGCCUUCUAGCCGGCGGGGCAGGUCUGGCACUGUCUGGCUCUGGCCUUUUCUAGACACUUCAAUUAGUGUUGUUAAUUACGGCUUUGUGAGCAUGGGGUUCUCCAAAGGCAGCCGGUCUCCAGCCCGCCGCUCCCCGACGCCCAGUCUGACAUUCGUCCCCAGUCUCUGAGGCUGUGUUUAUGCUCUUCCUCUGCCCCUCUGCGCAAAUAAAGGUGCCAGGAAAGUGCAAAUUA